rnacentral:lncRNA from 1 species
GUGAGUAGAAUAGUAAUAAAAUAACAGGUGAUAAAACAUGCUCUCAUGGAAUGCAACACAUAAGCACAUCACCUCGGCCGGACGGAUCAAAACUCCCUCUAUCUCAUCUGGGGUACCGGAGUACCAUGUGCCUGGUCCCCGUAGGGCUGUUCCAGGUCUUUGUGUGCCUGGUCCCCGUAGGGCUGUUCCAGGUCUUUCCUCUGAGGGCUAAUGAAUCCUCACGAAGUCCGUGCCGUCUCAUAGAAACAAUGUACAAGGAGCAGUGCCAAGUACAAGGAUCAAUGCAAUGCAGCAUCUUUGUGUACACUAAUGCACUCACCCUAUAGCAUAUUCAUGAUGCAUGAAGCAUGAUAAAAUAUUCAGUUCUCAUAUUAAAACAUUAAGUUAAUUCCACUCACCUUUAGUUAUCUCUGAACUGACUCUGCAGGUUCUGACACUGGACUCACUGCUGACUUCCCUGAUUCCUCUGGUCCGUACCUACACAGGUGGACUCAAAUGAGGGACCAAACUCAC